rnacentral:tRNA from 1 species
UGGGGGAUCGUCUAGUGGUAGGACGACAGACUCUGGAUCUGACUCUGGAUCUGUCUACCGAGGUUCGAAUCCUCGUCCCCCAGCCA